CCUACGGGAGGCAGCAGUGAGGAAUUUUCCGCAAUGGGCGAAAGCCUGACGGAGCAAUGCCGCGUGGAGGAGGAAGGCCUGUGGGUCGUAAACUCCUUUUCUCAGAGAAGAAGUUCUGACGGUAUCUGAGGAAUAAGCAUCGGCUAACUCUGUGCCAGCAGCCGCGGUAAUACAGGGGAUGCAAGCGUUAUCCGGAAUUAUUGGGCGUAAAGCGUCCUGAGGUGGCUUACCCAGUCGACUGUGAAAGCUCAAGGCUUAACCUUGAAACGGCAGUCGAAACUUGUAAGCUUGAGUACGGUAGGGGCAGAGGGAAUUCCCGGAGGAGAGGUGAAAUUCGUAGAUAUCGGGAGGAAGGCCAAAGGCGAAAGCACUCUGCUGGGCCGAUUACUGACACUGACAGACGAAAGCUAGGGGAGCGAAAGGGAUUAGAUACCCCUGUAGUCCUAGCCGUAAACGAUGGAUACUAAGUGUUGCGCGACUCAAAACGUGCAGUGNUGCAGCUACGACGGUAAGUACGUCCGCCGUGGGUAGGUAGUGCCGCCGAGGGUAGGAACGUACGAAAGGUAAGUUAGUACGGUUCGUUGUAGACGUUAGCCGACGGACGACGACGAGGGAGGAGG
rnacentral:rRNA from 1 species